UGGUAAUUGGGUUAUAUAUCUUAUUUGUGCAAUUGUGCAGUCUCUAAGGAGGGACAAAGUUCUGCGUAUUUUCAAAUUAAAUACUGGACAAGAUGAUUAUGCUAUAAUGUUUUUGGAUGACUACAUAAAGCAGAUAGAUCAAGUUUUUAAAAGAAUGGAAGGAAAGAAAGAAAUGGAAUAUGAAGUUUUUGGGUGGUUCAAAAAUUAUAUUCUGGAUUCGAAGCUGGAAACUGGCAUUGAACAUUGGAAUUUACUGAAUCAAUUUCUAUAAUUAGCGAAGUGUGCUUCUUGAUGCAAUGUUCACUCUUGUCACUUGGGGGGAAGGUGAAGGACAGCCACAUCAGCCACAUCACACUUGAUGUCUAUAUGCCUUUUUACUUGGCUAGCUACUCUUUUGCUCUGAUUUCAAACCUGCUAGAACCAACAGAAUGUGUCAGUAUUCUUGCAGUUUUUUCCCCUCCAUUUUCUUGCAACACAGAUAAAGGAUUGGUUCGCGUUGGUGGUGACACCCACUAGGGAAC